rnacentral:rRNA from 1 species
UGGUGGAGUGAUUUGUCUGGUUAAUUCCGUUAACGAACGAGACCUCGGCCUACUAAAUAGUCUGGCCUUCUCUUCGGGGAAAGCUAGGACUUCUUAGAGGGACUAUCGGUGUGUAGCCGAUGGAAGUUCGAGGCAAUAACA